CCCCAAUUCUCCCCAAUUCCCCUCUCCCCCCCCCCCCCUCCUCCCGCAGCAGGCGAGCGCGAAGCCGGGGACCGGAGGCGGAGAGAUGGAGUCGGACCAGGGCAAGCUCUUUAUCGGCGGGAUCUCGUGGGAGACGUCGGAGGAGAAGCUGAGCGAGCACUUCUCCGCCUACGGCGAGGUCACCCAGGCCGCCGUCAUGCGCGACAAGCUCACCGGCCGCCCCCGCGGCUUCGGCUUCGUCGUCUUCGCCGACCCCGCCGUCGUUGACCGCGCGCUGCAAGACCCCCACUCCCUCGACGGCCGCACGGUCGAUGUGAAGCGGGCGCUGUCGCGGGAGGAGCAGCAGGCUUCCAAGGUGUCGAACCCUAGCGUCGGGAGGAACUCAGGUGGAGGUGGCGGAAGUGGUGGCGGUGGGGAUGCGGGUGGUGUUCGGACGAAGAAGAUCUUCGUGGGCGGGCUGCCCUCCACUCUGACGGAGGACGGGUUCCGGCAGUACUUCCAGACUUACGGGAUCGUCACCGAUGUUGUCGUCAUGUAUGACCAGAACACACAGCGCCCGCGGGGGUUUGGGUUCAUCACCUUUGACUCGGAGGACGCUGUUGACCGCGUGCUGCACAAGACCUUCCACGACCUGGGCGGGAAGAUGGUGGAGGUAAAGCGCGCGCUGCCCAGGGAGGCAAACCCUGGCUCUGGCGGUGGGCGUUCCAUGGGAGGUGGGGGUUAUCAGAGCAACAAUGGCCAUAACUCCAACUCUGGUAGCUAUGACGGCAGAGGUGAUGCUAGCAGAUAUGGGCAGGCACAGCAGGGGAGCGGUGGUUAUCCGGGCUAUGGUGCGGGAGGUUAUGGUGCUGGUGCAGCUGGUUACGGAUAUGGCGCUAACCCUGGAGCUGGAUAUGGAAAUUACGGGGCUGGAGGAUACGGAGGUGUUCCUGCUGGGUAUGGUGGACCUUACGGAAAUCCAAGUGCUGCUGGUUCUGGUUACCAAGGUGGUCUUCCAGGCUCAAAUAGAGGACCCUGGGGCAGUCAAGCUCCAUCUGCUUAUGGCGCUGGAAGUUAUGGUGGCAAUACAGGCUAUGGUGCUUGGAACAACUCUUCUGUUGGUGGCAAUGCGCCCACUAGUCAGGCCCCUGGUGCAGCUGUGGGCUAUGGAAGUCAGGGCUACGGGUAUGGUGGAUAUGGAGGAGAUGGAUCAUAUGCAAGUCAUGGAGGAUAUGGGGCGUAUGGAGCGCGUAGUGAUGGUUCUGGCAAUCCUGCUACUGGUGGAGCAUCUGGAUACGGUGCUGGGUAUGGCAGUGGGAGUGGCAACUCCGGUUAUCCAAAUGCUUGGAGUGAUCCUUCACAAGGUGGUGGGUUUGGUGGUUCAGUCAAUGGAGGUUCUGAAGGACAAUCAAAUUAUGGCAGUGGCUAUGGCGCUGUGCAACCUAGGGUUGCUCAGUAAGAGAGGCGAUUAGAGUAUUUUGAAUUGAACCAGCACAUCUGGGCAGUCUAUGUAUUGUUGUGUUACUCUGGCCUCUCUGAUCGCUCUCAGCCUCCUCAAGAUCGCCCAUCCGCUGGUGAAAUCAGUAUUUCUCCGGGUUGAAUGGGAUGGCCGUUCUUUUUAGAGAUGUCCAAGCAAGGGCUAUUAAAUCACCAUCUGAAAAAGGCAGGUGAAAAACACUGAUUUUGCAUGAUGAGUUGGUGGAAAGUUUCUAUCGAGGAGCUGACAGAGUGCAAGAUACCAGCUUCUAAGUGCUUCAUUUUUCUGAACGGUCUUGUGCUGUGCUACAGGAUGGGGAGUGGGUGACAAGGUGAGACUGUGGCCACAGUGGCAGGGUCUGGGGAGCAUGGGCAAGGGCAUGUCUGUGUGGCGCUAGGGUUGGUAUCUGCGCAUAAUGGAUAUGGUGGAUGCUUGUGCUAUGGCAACUCCCCGAUAUGGAUCUUCGAUUGCACCUGGUGAGGACAAGUCGAUUUCAUAUGCAUCUAAUCAGCACGCUGGCCUCUCAAUUAGUUCUACUGCUCAAUAAAAACAUGUACCUUUUGAGAUAACGUCUGUAAACUCGAAGCUUCGUAGUACUCUAAAAUCUCUUUUCAGUUGAAGCAGAUGGUUUAGGCAUCACCUAUAUGAUUUUCUGUAUCUAACUUCUUCAUAAGUGCAUAUUUACCAGAAGAUGUUGACUUCAUGUUAUCUGCACAUUUGUAUUGAGCUUGUUCCUUGAUCUAGUAUGUCUAGCAUUCGAUGAUGA